UACGUAGGUGGCGAGCGUUGUCCGGAUUUACUGGGCGUAAAGGGAGCGUAGGCGGACUUUUAAGUGAGAUGUGAAAUACUCGGGCUCAACUUGAGUGCUGCAUUUCAAACUGGAAGUCUAGAGUGCAGGAGAGGAGAAUGGAAUUCCUAGUGUAGCGGUGAAAUGCGUAGAGAUUAGGAAGAACACCAGUGGCGAAGGCGAUUCUCCGGACUGUAACUGACGCUGAGGCUCGAAAGCGUGGGGAGCAAACAGG
rnacentral:rRNA from 1 species